GUUGAGCGGAGAUAUAUGGAGCUUGCUUUAUAUAACUUAGCAGCGAACGGGUGAGUAACACGUAGAUAAUCUAUCCUAUACUGGGGGAUAGCCCGAUGAAAGUUGGAUUAAUACCGCAUAUAGCUAUAUAGUUGCAUGAUUAUGUAGUGAAAGAUUUAUUGGUAUAGGAGGAGUCUGCGGCACAUUAGCUAGUAGGUGAGGUAAAGGCUUACCUAGGCGACGAUGUGUAGCCGGUCUGAGAGGAUGAACGGCCACAAUGGAACUGAGACACGGUCCAUACUCCUACGGGAGGCAGCAGUGGGGAAUAUUGCACAAUGGGGGAAACCCUGAUGCAGCAACGCCGCGUGAGUGAAGAAGGUUUUCGGAUUGUAAAGCUCUGUUAGCAGGGAAGAGGAAGGGCGGUACCUGCAGAGGAAGCCACGGCUAACUACGUGCCAGCAGCCGCGGUAAUACGUAGGUGGCAAGCGUUGUUCGGAAUAACUGGGCGUAAAGGAUGCGUAGGCGGUUAAACAAGUUAUAUGUUAAAUAUAUAGGCUUAACCUGUAGAAAGCAUAUAAAACUGUUUAACUAGAGUGCAGGAGAGGUAAGUGGAAUUCCUAGUGUAGCGGUGAAAUGCGUAGAGAUUAGGAAGAACACCAGUGGCGAAGGCGACUUACUGGACUGUAACUGACGCUGAGGCAUGAGAGCAUGGGGAGCAAACAGGAUUAGAUACCCUGGUAGUCCAUGCUGUAAACGAUGGGUACUAGGUGUGGGUUGUGAAUAACAAUUCGUGCCGUC
rnacentral:rRNA from 1 species